UGUUAAAAAUUUCAUCUAUUUAUACCAUUAAAAACUAACGUGGUUCAUAAAAUAACCAGACAGUAAUACAUUAUAUACAAUGUGAUGCUAACGUGCAGAACCCAUUUUUUACAAUAGAAAUGAAUGAAAUUUUUAACA
rfam:Gossypium hirsutum cultivar TM-1 unplaced genomic scaffold scaffold1983.1, whole genome shotgun sequence